rnacentral:rRNA from 1 species
GAGUUUGAUCCUGGCUCAGAUUGAACGCUGGCGGCAGGCCUAACACAUGCAAGUCGAGCGGUAGAGAGAAGCUUGCUUCUCUUGAGAGCGGCGGACGGGUGAGUAAUGCCUAGGAAUCUGCCUGGUAGUGGGGGAUAACGCUCGGAAACGGACGCUAAUACCGCAUACGUCCUACGGGAGAAAGCAGGGGACCUUCGGGCCUUGCGCUAUCAGAUGAGCCUAGGUCGGAUUAGCUAGUUGGUGAGGUAAUGGCUCACCAAGGCGACGAUCCGUAACUGGUCUGAGAGGAUGAUCAGUCACACUGGAACUGAGACACGGUCCAGACUCCUACGGGAGGCAGCAGUGGGGAAUAUUGGACAAUGGGCGAAAGCCUGAUCCAGCCAUGCCGCGUGUGUGAAGAAGGUCUUCGGAUUGUAAAGCACUUUAAGUUGGGAGGAAGGGCAGUAAAUUAAUACUUUGCUGUUUGACGUUACCGACAGAAUAAGCACCGGCUAACUCUGUG